rnacentral:sRNA from 1 species
UAAUUAUAGGUUAUGGCAGCAGGUGGGC